rnacentral:rRNA from 1 species
UACGGGGGGGGGCAAGCGUUGUUCGGAAUUACUGGGCGUAAAGGGCUUGUAGGUGGCCAACUAAGUCAGACGUGAAAUCCCUCAGCUUAACUGGGGAACUGCGUCUGAUACUGGAUGGCUUGAGUUUGGGAGAGGGAUGCGGAAUUCCAGGUGUAGCGGUGAAAUGCGUAGAUAUCUGGAGGAACACCGGUGGCGAAGGCGGCAUCCUGGGCAGUUGCUGACACUGAGGCGCGACAGCGUGGGGAGCAAACAGG